rnacentral:rRNA from 2 species
GGGCCCGCACAAGCAGUGGAGUAUGUGGUUUAAUUCGAAGCAACGCGAAGAACCUUACCAAGCCUUGACAUCUCCUGCAUAACCUAGAGAUAGGUGAAGUCCUUCGGGACAGGAAGACAGGUGGUGCAUGGUUGUCGUCAGCUCGUGUCGUGAGAUGUUGGGUUAAGUCCCGCAACGAGCGCAACCCUUACUGAUAGUUACUACGCGAAGAGGACUCUAUCGGGACUGCCGUUGACAAAACGGAGGAAGGUGGGGAUGACGUCAAAUCAUCAUGCCCUUUAUGGCUUGGGCUACACACGUACUACAAUGGCCGUUAACAACGUGGACCAAAGGGGCGACCCGGAGGGAAUCAAUAAAAACGGUCUCAGUUCGGAUCGGAGGCUGCAACUCGCCUCCGUGAAGUCGGAAUUGCUAGUAAUCGCGGAUCAGCAUGCCGCGGUGAAUACG